rnacentral:rRNA from 1 species
AAGGGCACCACAAGAACGCGUGGAGCAUGUGGCUUAAUUUGACUCAACGCGGGAAAUCUUACCGGGUCCGGACACACUGAGGAUUGACAGGCAAUAUUAAUUUCAUUGNGUCCUUCGUGGCAUUAUUGAUAUUAUGUUAAAUAUGCUAGUCCUUUCAUGAUUAUGUGAUAGGUGGUGCAUGGCCGUUCUUAGUUCGUGGAGUGAUCUGUCUGCUUAAUUGCGUUUCACUAAGGGCCUAUAAAUUUACGUAUGUUGCGGCACUUUGACCCCUUUCCUCGUUGAAAGCGCGCGUCUUAGAUUGCUUUGCUCAUACAAUUAGGUCCUGAAAGCAACGAACGUGACCGCAACCUCUUGUUGCCUUUAUACCAAACACGUUUUGUCAUUUUUGAUGGCAUACGUGAAAAAAGGCUUUUUAAACUAGAGGGACCGCUGUUACUUUCUUAAACCAGAGGAAGGUUGCGGCAAUAACAGGUCUGUGAUGCCCUUAGAUGUUCCGGGCUGCACACGUGCUACAAUGAUUAUUGCAGUGAGCAUCUCAUUUUUACACACCGCAUGCGCGAGUCCAUUUAUUCACCUUCGGGUGUUUUAAAUGUGUAUCUCUGCGCGCGGUAAAGCCUGCUUCGAAAGUAAGUGGGUAAUCAAUUAGAAGUAAUGAUUUCCUAUUUUUAGCACACAUAUAUACGGCGUUUAUACCCGGGUUACCUUGUUGUAACUUUUGUGCGUAUAGAUGUUUUUUCCGUAUGUGCGAUUGUCAAUUCAUGGUGGGGACAGACCAUUGUUAAUUGUUGGUCUCGGUCUUAACUAGGAAUGCCUUGUACGGGUCUUUGGUUCAACAAACCACCCGGAAUACGUCCCUGCCCUUUGUACACACCGCCCGUCGCUCUUACCGAUGGACUUCUCUGUGAGUUUGAGGGACUGGGAACGCGAGAAAUUUAUUUCUUCGCACACCUAUGGGAACUUAAACGAACAGUGUGGUCUAAAGGAAAGAGAAGUCGAACAAGGCA